GUGAGGUACAGCUCAGUGUGGGUGAGGUACAGCUCAGUGUGGGUGAGGUACAGCUCAGCGUGGGUGAGGUACAGCUCAGUGUGGGUGAGGUACAGCUCAGUGUGGGUGAGGUACAGCUCAGUGCUCAGUGUGGGUGAGGUACAGCUCAGUGUGGGUGAGGUACAGCUCAGUGUGGGUGAGGUACAGCUCAGUGUGGGUGAGGUACAGCUCAGUGCUCAGUGUGGGUGAGGUACAGCUCAGUGUGGGUGAGGUACAGCUCAGUGUGGGUGAGGUACAGCUCAGUGCUCAGUGUGGGUGAGGUAGAGCUCAGUGUGGGUGAGGUAGAGCUCAGUGUGGGUGAGGUACAGCU